CCUACGUGAGGCAGCAGUAGGGAAUCUUCCACAAUGGGCGAAAGCCUGAUGGAGCAACGCCGCGUGGGUGAAGAAGGUCUUCGGAUCGUAAAACCCUGUUGUUAGAGAAGAAAGUGCGUGAGAGUAACUGUUCACGUUUCGACGGUAUCUAACCAGAAAGCCACGGCUAAAUACGUGCCAGCAGCCGCGGUAAUACGUAGGUGGCAAGCGUUAUCCGGAUUUAUUGGGCGUAAAGGGAACGCAGGCGGUCUUUUAAGUCUGAUGUGAAAGCCUUCGGCUUAACCGGAGUAGUGCAUUGGAAACUGGGAGACUUGAGGGCAGAAGAGGAGAGUGGAACUCCAUGUGUAGCGGUGAAAUGCGUAGAUAUAUGGAAGAACACCAGUGGCGAAAGCGGCUCUCUGGUCUGUAACUGACGCUGAGGUUCGAAAGCGUGGGUAGCAAACAGGAUUAGAUACCCCUGUAGUC
rnacentral:rRNA from 1 species